AUUGAACGCUGGCGGCAUGCCUUACACAUGCAAGUCGAACGGCAGCACGGGAGCAAUCCUGGUGGCGAGUGGCGAACGGGUGAGUAAAGCAUCGGAACGUGCCCAGUCGUGGGGGAUAACGUAGCGAAAGCUACGCUAAUACCGCAUACGAUCUGUGGAUGAAAGCGGGGGACCGUAAGGCCUCGCGCGAUUGGAGCGGCCGAUGUCAGAUUAGGUAGUUGGUGGGGUAAAAGCUCACCAAGCCGACGAUCUGUAGCUGGUCUGAGAGGACGACCAGCCACACUGGGACUGAGACACGGCCCAGACUCCUACGGGAGGCAGCAGUGGGGAAUUUUGGACAAUGGGCGCAAGCCUGAUCCAGCAAUGCCGCGUGCAGGAUGAAGGCCUUCGGGUUGUAAACUGCUUUUGUACGGAGCGAAAAGGCUUCCACUAAUACUGGGGGCUCAUGACGGUACCGUAAGAAUAAGCACCGGCUAACUACGUGCCAGCCGCCGCCGUAA
rnacentral:rRNA from 1 species